ensembl:lncRNA
CGAACCCACAUCCUCAUGGAUCCUAGUCAGGUUCGUUAACCACUAAGCCAUGAAGGGAACUCCGGUUUUUUUUGUUUGUUUGUUUGUUUUUAAGAGGGAAUAUCAGCGAGCAGAGAGGACAGAGCAGGGGAGGAGGGAGUGAUGAAAGACACAGAUCUGAGACAGAGGAAGAUCUCUGAAGACACCAAAAGGGAUGUGAUCAAGGGCCCAGAUGAAGGACGAGGUGUCAUGGGGGAGAAGGGACCACCCGAAUGUAGGAAAAGAAAAACAGGCUGUUAUGUGAUCCUCAAUCCCCAAAACAUUGCACGAGGCCUUGUUAAAGUCUGCAAAAUGAUCCGAAGAUAAAAGAAGAUAUGAGAGGAUUUCUAUAUACUUCACCAUAUUACUUCUGGCCAGUUUUGACAGUGAGCGGCAAGGAUUUAGCGAUACAUGCGAAUAUGAAAAAUGGCAACUCAAAGUAACUCCCUUGGAAGGGAAAGGGAAAAGGUGGUGUUAGUUUGGAAGGUGAAGGAAAGAAGGGAGGGCGUGAUGAAGGUAAACCGAGGAACGCACAGUCUUUGGAACCAGACAAACCUGGAAGCAAUGUUGGCUCUACCACUUACUUUGAUUUUAAAUAUGUUUCUUAACCUUCUCUGCUCCUGAGUUUCUUCUUUCAAAAUGCUAUGAAUAAUACUUGCCUCCUGGGAUUGGAAUGAGAAUCAGACAAGGCAGUAUAUUUGAAAAAAAAAAAAGUAGUACAUGUUUUUCACCUUCCGUUCCCUCUUUUCCAGGAAAUAUCACCUGGAGAUAUUUAUUGACUGUAUUUAAGUGAUCUUCAUCAAGGUGUGUGCCAGGGAAGUUUUUUAAAGAAAUAUGCCAUGUAUAGAUAAAUUAAGAUGGUUACCUUAAAAAAUAUUCAGUAAAAAAUGAAUAGCAUGAGGAGUUCCUAGUGGCUCAUUGGGCUAAGGAUCUGGCACUGUCACUGCCAUGGCUCAGGUUGCUUCUGUGGCUCAGGUUAUUGCUAUGGCUAUUGUGUGGCCAAAAAAAUAAAGAUGAAUAGCAUGAGGCCAGAAUGGGAGGAAAGGCAAAACAUAUAUAGCUUUAUAGCUUGUGGCUAUAAAAGAUAGUAUAAGAAACAGUACUUUUAAAGAUAAUAUUGGUAGAGAAGUCUUAAAAGAAAGAAGGAAAGAAGAAGAAAAGAGAAAGGAAGAAAAAGAGAGAAAAAGAAAGAAAUUAAGAAAGAAAGAAAGAAAAGAAAUAUUAUUCAUAGGGAAUAUUGUAAAGUGAAAACAGAAGAGAGAAUCACUUUUCUAGUAUGAGUCAGUAUUUGCUUUUAUACCAUUUCAUCACAAUAAAGUAGAAUCAUUGAUUCAGCUCUGUGUAAUCAAAAGAGCACAGAUUUGGGAGCCAGACAGCCAUGGCUUUGAGAAUUGACUUUGUCUCACACUAGCUGGAUGAUCUCAGACAAGUGACAAAUUCCUUGAGUCACCGUGUGUUAGUUUCCUAGGCCUGCCCUAAUGAAGUGCCAAAAACUGGAUGGCUUGAAACAACAGAAAUUUAUUGUCUUAUAAUUCUGGAGGCCAGAAGUCCAAAACUAAAGUGUCAGCGGGGUGAUGCUCUUUUGAAGCCUAAGGGAGGAUCUCUUCCUUGCCUUCUUCUAACUUCUGCUAAUCCAGGUGGAUCUUGACUAGCAGAUGCAUCAUUCCAAUCCUCUGUCUUCAUAAGGCAUCCUCCCUGUGUGUCUCUGUCUUCAUGUGGCUGUCUGCUUACAGCAACCAAGUCAUAUUGGAUUAGGAACCCACGCCAUUCCAGUAGAACCUCCUCUUAAAUAACUAUAGCUGCACUGACCCUACUUUCAAAUACAAGGUCACAUUCCAAGGUACUGAGGGUUAAGACUUCGACAUAGAUUUUUUGGGGAGACAUAAUUCAGCCAAUAAUACUCAAUAUCUUCAAUCCUUAGGUGAGACUAAAAGUACAUUCUUUGCAAUGUUGUUAUGAGAAUCUUGUGUAAACUUCCGGAAAAAUACCGAGCAUGAUAUACAACACACAGUAAAUGAGAAAAAUGAAGACGAAUCAAAAUCAGUCUUCAAAACUGUCUUUUGGUGUCAUGAUCUGAAUCUGAUUCCCUCUGAGCUAUGCGCCAAGAAGUAUUGGUGGAGAGUUCUUAGUAGGUUCUGUGGCUCUUUAAUACGGCAUUCACUGGUGACCUGGGUUCAACGUUUACUGACCACUUACUGUAUGUUCGGCAUUGUACCAGAUACAGAGGGAUACCUGGGGAGGAGACCUGAGGCCACUUCUGUGGUUUUCUGAGGUGGUUUAUAUUCCAUCUCCCAUCCCAGGUAGCCCUCCAAUCUAGAAGCCAUGGUCUAGAAAGGGGUCAGCAAACCAUGACCCGCGAGCCAAACCCAGGCCACUGACUGUGUUUGUAAAUAAAGUUUUAUUGCAAGAUAGCCGUGUCCAUUUGUUUAUAUUUGUCUGUGGUUAUGUCUGUGUUUCCACGGCAGAGCUGAGGAGUUGUGACGGAGGUAGGCCCACAAAGCCUAAAUGAUUUAAUAUCUGGGUUUUCAUAGACAUGUUACCUUUCUGAUAAUGCAGACUUUGACUUAUAUUCUCUUUCUUUUUUUCCAUCGUAGGAGACUUAGACCCUUCGCAGUCCACAAGCUUAUUGAUUCUCAGAGCUUCAAGUUCAGGUAGAGCUUGGGUCCUGAUCUCUCUGAUAACUUCGACUUGUCUAUACCCUGGGGUUAGUCAUUCAUAAUAAUGCAUCAGUAGUAGUUCACCACCUGUCACAAAUGUACCACACCAAUGUAAGAAGAUAAUAACCAGGCAGGUAUAUUUCUCACCAUCCACUCUUAAACUUGGUACUCUGCCUACCUCCAUUCUUUUUAUGGAUCCUAUUGAAUAAUUUGUUAUUUCUUUUACAUUUGAAAAGAUACAAUACAGAAAAAAUUCAUUCUUCAGCAAACACUUGUUGAAUACCAUUUACUAAUUACAUAAGUUUUACUAUAAUAAUACUAAAGUACUGGAACAUAGUGCUUUAAUACAUUUCUGAUGAGAUCUGAAAGUUAGAUUCAUUUGUAAUAGAUGGUAUUUUGGCUCAAAAUAUCCAUUGCCUCUUCCAUAGGGCCCCAGCCUAUGGGAGGAAGACAUACCUGUGCUCAGAGCAGGCUUGGUCAUGCGACUUGCUUUGAUCAUUUGAUCAUUGGAAUAGGACUGGGGCAGACCCACUUUUUUUUUUUUCCUUUUUAGGGCUGUACCCACAGCAUACGGAGGUUCUCAGGCUAGUGGUCAAAUUGGAGCUGCAGGCUGCCCGCCUACACCACAGCCAUAGCAACGCGGGAUCUGAGCUGCUUCUGCGACCUACACCGCAGUUCACAGCAACAUCAGAUCCUUAACCCACUGAGCGAGGCUAGGGAUCGAACCCACAACCUCAUGGCUCCUAGUCAGAUUCGUUUCCGCUGUGCCACGAUGGGAAUGCCUGUCCUAUUUCUGAAAGAGCUUUAAGAGUCAUUCUCUGGUCGGUCACCACCCCCUCUUUUUCAUUCCGACAUGAAACUGCCAUGUUUUAGAUAGGGCUGCAUUUUCAUCCUUGGUUCUGACAUGACAAAGACAUGAAACUGAGUCAAAUCUGACCCCAGUAUAGACAUGAGAAAUAAACCUUUGUUGUGAGCCAUUAAGGUUUUGAGAUCUUUAUUGCCACGUAGCCUAGACUGAAGGAAAAAUCACUGACUAUAUUUUCUUCGCAUUUUUCAGAUCAAAUAACAUUUAAGAGUUCUUUUUCUAACUUUCAUAUUAUGGAUGACAAUUUGCAACUUAAAGAUAAUCAAAAUAAGGCCUAGAAAUAAAUGUCACUUGUGAAUUAAAUAGAAGUAUCCAAACUUCUAGCUGGCAACUUAGAGUAUUACGCAUAGUGUCUAAUUAUAUAAAUCCUAUUUGACUUAUACUGCUGCAUACUCUCUAUUUUAACAUUUUACUGUGCUUACUUUAUUCGCAUAUCUAAGCAUGUAUCCAUCUAACAACCGACCGUAUUUUCUGAGGUAUUUUACGUAAGUUUCAGGUGUUAGUUACACUUCACUCCUGCACAUUUCAGCAUGUAUAUCAUUACCUGGAUUUCAAUAUUGGCUUAUGAUUUUUUUCUUUUGAGGCAAAAUUUAUAUAUAACGUACAAAUCUUCUGUAUAUCACUCAAUGCGUUUUGCUAAACAGAGGCCCCUAUGCGACGCAAAUCUCUAUCAAAACAUAGAACACGACCACCAGCCAACAAAAUUUUCACUGUUUAUUUUAGCCCAUAUAUUUACUCUGUGUAUGUGCUUCUGAAUGUUGCAUAUAUUUUUAUUCUGAGCUUUAGAUAUACAGAGAUUUAAAUGCAUUUCUAGAAUUCACAGUUCAUGUCUCCAGAGCUUAUGAAUGAUCCACUUGGACAGGAAUUUGUUCCUAAAAAUAAUUUUUUUAACAUCUGAAAAUUUAUAGAUUUUUUUCUGGAUAAUUUUCUUUCUCUGCUUUUGCUUUUCGAAUAAUAAUUUUGUUUCUAUAAUAGCCACCCAACAGAAGAUGUGUCUCUACCACAUCAAGCAGUAGCAUCAUUUCCACUAAUUGAAACUUUGGCAGUCUCAUGUUCUACAAGAGUCACUGGAGGUGCUGGGAUGUAUUUUUCUGUUGCUAAUCAUGAUGCAAUUAUGUUGGCUUCGACUGGUUAGGGCUGAGGCUGGUUACUAAAAGUAGGAAAAUGGCAAAAAAAAAAAAAAAAGAGAGAAUAGAAGGUUUAUACUAAAUGUUUGUGGCUGUAUACAUGUAACAGACUGGAGGAAUAAAUUAUAUCUUGAGUAGAGAAGAUGGGCUAGCAUGGAAAAACAAGGAGAAAUAUGGGCUGGUUUUUGCCACUUGGAAUGUGGUCUUCAUUUUCUUCUUCUGCUUCCCUGAUCCCAUCCCUUUUUUGGCCUCUAAGAUAACAUGUACCCAUAUCACAAAAAAUAAACAUUGUAGCAGAGCAGUCUGUUUAUAUAUUAUUAUACAAUGUGCAUGUAAAAUGCUCAUACCUAAAAUCUACAGAUUGAGGUGUUGAGUCCUAUGUUAUUCAUACAGAGAGAGGUAGCUUUUACUGGAAGUUAGUUUAAUCAAUGGCUUCUAUUGAUUAACUUCACUCUUCAGUACCGUUCUAGUCAUCUUUCUCAAGAUAUUUGUCUUUCAGGAUUUAGGCACCAAGAUUUAAUGCAAUUAAGUCAGAUGUUGCAGAAAUUAUUAUAAAUUAACGGGAACUAAUAUGCACCCUGUUUCCAGGAAAUCUACAGUAGAAUCCAAUUUGGGAAGAACAGAAUUGCUGGACAAUGAAUAAAUCCUGCUGAGCACAGCGUAAAGGAAUUCAUGGCUGAAUUGAGGUAUCCAACUACACUUAAUCUUGAAAAUCUUUUCAUAAUGAUCUUUCUUGGCUAUAAUUUAAAAGGCCAGAAAUAGAAGAAUGAGGAAAAAGAGAACAGACACCAUGGACAAUCUAUAAAAUCAUCUAUGAUCUUUCUAUAUUUCUUCUGAAGAUUCUUUUUAUCCCAGCUCAUUGUCUGCUCCUCUCCAGGUACCUUCCUAGCUUCCUCUUGAGAUACUCCUUGGACUCCCUGUUUGUGAAACUUUCUCAGACACAAAUUAGUAGAGAGGUUAUUAUAAGCUUGGAGGCAGAGUCAAAAAUCCCUUGAAUGAAGUAAUCUAUCAGCAAAUGAUUCUCCCAGCCCCUACUUAUCCCAGACCCAUCACUGAAAAAUUACUGUAUUUCCUCUAUUUAUUGAAGUACAUAAAUGUGUUAAUUUUAUAAUUAGGAAUAACUUAGAGACAUGAUUAUUCUCUUCAGGUAUCUUAAGAGCUAUCAUUUCUAAGAUGAACUUCUCUUUAUAUCUCCUUAGGGUGAAAUUAAGUUUUAUAAGUAGACUUAUCUAUAGGCCAGUUUGGGGCUACUCUAGGGAAAGCCUUUCCAAUAACUAGUCAGA